rnacentral:snRNA from 1 species
GUACUUUUGGCAGCAGGCAGCUCAUAUACUAAAAUUGGAGCACACAAAGAAGAGUUGUAUGGCCCCUGCACAAGAAGGUACCCAGAUCUGUGAAGCAUCCCAUACAUCU